rnacentral:ncRNA from 1 species
GAAUAGAUAAAAUUUUUAUGUUUUAUAAAAUUUAUUUUAAAAUUUAUUUUACAUAUAAAUUUUAGUAUGUAAUUUUAAUUAUUUAAAAAAUAAUUGAAAUAAUAUUGUAGUAAUUAUAAUUAAAAAUUUAAGAAAUUAAGAUUUAGUAAUAUAAAAAUUAAUAACUAAUUUUGUGCCAGCAGUUGCGGUUAAACAAAAGUUAAAUUAAAUUUUUUUAGUUUUUAAUAAAUAUAAUUUAUAAUUUAAAUUAAAAAUAAAAUUAUUAAGUGAAAUUUUAAUUUUAUAAAAAUUUAUAUAAUAUUUUUAUGAAUUAAUAAAUUUAAUAAAAAACUAGGAUUAGAUACCCUAUUAUUAAAAAUUUAAUUAAAAAUACUAAAAUAGUAAAUAGGUAUUUAUAUUGAAACUUAAAUAAGAUGGCGGUAUUUUAGUUCAUUUAGAGGAAUCUGUCUAAUAAUUGAUAAUCCACGAAUAAAUUUACUUAAUUAAUUAUUUUGUAUAUCAUUGUUAAAAAAAUAUUUUUAAAUGAAAAUAAUAUUUUAAAAUUUUAAAUAUAAAUUAAUUCAGAUCAAGAUGCAGAGGAUAAUUAAGUUUAAGAUGGAUUACAAUAAAAAUAUUUAAAUGGAUAAUAUUUUUGUAAAAUUUAUUUGAAGGUGGAUUUAACUGUAAUUUUCCUCAGCAUUCUGGAAUGAUUAAUAAUUAAAAUAUGUACAUAUUGCCCGUCACUUUCAUUUAAAAAUUGGAAUAAGUCGUAACAAAGUAGAGGUACUGGAAAGUGUUUCUAGAAUGAU